AGAGGAGGGCAUCCAAUUCUCUAAAAUGAGUCUCUCUGGGGAGAGAGAGGAGGGCGGCCCUGCCUCUAAAAUGAGUCUCUCUGGGGAGAGAGAGGAGGGCGGCCCUGCCUCUAAAAUUAGUCUCUCUGGGAAACAUGACACCAAAGCUAAGAGCCCAAUCCAUCAGGAGAGACCAGACUCACCCAGCUGUCUGUCCGUGAAGAGUGACGGGUCUAUGGACCAUUUCUAUGAUUGCGAAGAUGGAGACUUUUCUGCAUUUACAGGUCCAAUCAAGCAGGAGAGACCAGCCUCCCCUGUUCCCAGCUGUGUGUCCAUGAAGAGUGACUGGUCUAUGAGUCAACCUAUACAGUUUAGAGAGGGAGAUUUUUCUACUGAACAAAGAAACCAACAGGAGAGAUCAGAGUCAGAGAUUCUCAGUGGUCAGUCUUCCCAGAGUCAUCAAACAGACCUGGACUCCAUAUUUAGUAUGCUUGAAGAUAAUAUAAUAACAUUUGUGAAGAACGAGCUGAAGAUGUUCAAGAGGAUUCUUAGUCCAGAACUCCCAGAG